AUUGAACGCUGGCGGCAGGCCUAACACAUGCAAGUCGAGCGGAGCGGCGGACGGGUGAGUAAUGCCUAGGAAUCUGCCCUCCUUUUUGGGAUAAGCCUUGGAAACGGGGUCUAAUACCGAAUAAAGGGGGAUGGGCUCGCGGCCUAUCAGCUUGUUGGGGGGGUGAUGGCCUACCAAGGCGGUGACGGGUAGCCGGCCUGAGAGGGUGACCGGCCACACUGGAACUGAGACACGGUCCAGACUCCUACGGGAGGCAGCAGUGGGGAAUAUUGGACAAUGGGCGAAAGCCUGAUCCAGCCAUGCCGCGUGUGUGAAGAAGGUCUUCGGAUUGUAAAGCACUUUAAGUUGGGAGGCGUUACCAACAGAAUAAGCACCGGCUAACUUCGUGCCAGCAGCCGCGGUAAUAC
rnacentral:rRNA from 1 species